CUCAACUAUUAUUCUGCUUUUCAGUAAAUCCUUGUGAAAAUGUCGAAUGCUUGAAUGGUGGAGAAUGUGUAGGUCACGGUGUUUGUAAUUGUACCGUUGGCUUUGGUGGAGCUGAUUGUAGCUUGAAAGUAUGUAACGUGAACGAGUGUAAGAAUAGAGGAGGAACGUGUUACAGAUUUAGAUGUAAGACCGAUGAUUGUGGCGACUGUGCUGAUGGUGAAGUUUGUCUUAAUGGCAUUUGUGU